UACGGAGGGUGCGAGCGUUGUCCGGAAUCAUUGGGCGUAAAGGGCGCGUAGGGGGCGGGACAAGCGUGCGGUGAAAGCUCGGGGCUCAACCCCGAGUCGGCCGUGCGAACUGUUUUGCUUGAGCACUGUAGAGGCAGGCGGAAUUCCGGGUGUAGCGGUGGAAUGCGUAGAGAUCCGGAAGAACACCGGUGGCGAAGGCGGCCUGCUGGGCAGUAGCUGACACUGAGGCGCGACAGCGUGGGGAGCAAACAGG
rnacentral:rRNA from 1 species